rnacentral:lncRNA from 1 species
UAAUUGAAAUGCUUAUAACACUUUUAACGACAGUACAUAAUUCAAAGGAUUUCAUAAAAUACCCUACUGGCGUCCCAAGUAGGUCACCUAUAUACCCCAUCAGCGUCCUGAUGGGUCCACUUAAUCCCUAUCGACGUCCCAGAUAGGUCCACUUAAUCCCUGCAGGUCCACUUAUACCUCACCGGUGUACCGGAUGAGUCCACUUAAACCCUACCGGCGUCCCAGAUAGGUCCACUUAUACCUCACCGGCGAACCGGAUGAGUCCACUUGCAUACUUAAAUUAUUUCUAAAUCUCUUUAAACAUUCGAAAGCAGCAAUAUCAUGUACUCAACAUAUCACUGAAACCAUUAAUAUGAAUUUCACUUAAACCAUUAAUAACAGUCACUCUCUAUAACAUUUCAAAAAUAACCAAUCAAAUAUU